rnacentral:rRNA from 1 species
GAUGAACGCUGGCGGCGUGCUUAACACAUGCAAGUCGAACGAUGAAGCCGGAGCUUGCUCUGGUGAAUUAGUGGCGAACGGGUGAGUAACACGUGAGUAACCUGCCCUUGACUCUGGGAUAACUGCGGGAAACUGUAGCUAAUACCGGAUACGACCCUCGGAGGCAUCUCCUGGGGGUGGAAAGAAUUUCGGUCAAGGAUGGACUCGCGGCCUAACAGCUAGUUGGUGAGGUAAAGGCACACCAAGGCGAGGACGGGUAGCAGGCCUGCGAGGGUGACCAGCCCCAAUGGGGAUGAUAGCCGGCCCAGACUCCUACGGGAGGCAGCAGUGGGGAAUAAUUUUCAAUGGGCGCAAGCCUGAUGCAGGAACGCCGCGUGAGGGAUGACGGCCUUCGGGUUGUAAACCUCUUUUAGCAGGGAAGAAGCGAAAGUGACGGUACCUGCAGAAAAAGCACCGGCUAACUACGUGCCAGCAGCCGCGGUAA